CCAAAACAAUUGGGCGUUCCCCCUGUCUUGCUAUGGUAUCCCACUACAGGGUAAUAUUGUAUUACAUAUGCUUAUAGAGUCGAGAUGAGAUUUAUGAACGGUUUAUUUCAAUGAGAAGGUAGAGCUAACAGGAAGUGGUGGAGACUGCGGAAGACAAACAGAAUGAUUUUGAAGAAUAACUUAGCAUAAAUGAUUACAUAAAUAAUUUGCAACAUUUUAUGAGAUAAGCCAAUUGAAUUACUUCUUUUCCACAAUGCAAGCUAGUUUUCUAUCACACAGUAUAAAGGUUUUGUCAUUUUCUUAUAAAAUAAUAAGUACCAGAAUUUGGUAAAAAUACAGCCAUAUUAAAGGACAAGUCUUAUUGAAAGUUUCUCCAGACAAACUAAAUUUGAUUGCCUUGUCUCUUGAAAUGUGUUUGGCUAAAAUUAAAUUUAAUUAUAAACAAUUUUGGGGACAUAAAUUUUGAUAGAUUCAACAUUUUAAUGACAGUGUUCUUAGUGAUUAUGAUGGCAAUUUGGUGAAAGUUUUGUGCAGCCAUUUGCCUGAAGAUUUGUUCACAUGAAGGCAUUUGAAUUAAAAUGUAUU
rnacentral:lncRNA from 1 species